CGAGAAAGCCCGCAAGGGUGAGUAAAGCGGCGAACGGGUGCGUAACACGUGGGUAAUCUGCCCUAGAGUCCGGAAUAACUCGCCGAAAGGCGUGCUAAUGCCGGAUGAGACCACGGGAGCCUCGGCUCCUGCGGGAAAAGGUGGCCUCUGUACACAAGCUAUCGCUCUGGGAUGAGCCCGCGGCCCAUCAGCUCGUUGGCGGGGUAAUGGCCCACCAAGGCUACGACGGGUAGCUGGUCUGAGAGGACGAUCAGCCACACUGGAACUGAGACACGGUCCAGACUCCUACGGGAGGCAGCAGUGGGGAAUCUUGCGCAAUGGGCGAAAGCCUGACGCAGCAACGCCGCGUGUGUGAUGAAGGUCUUCGGAUCGUAAAGCACUGUCGCGAGGGACG
rnacentral:rRNA from 1 species